rnacentral:rRNA from 1 species
UUACGGCCUGGGCUACACACGUGCUACAAUGGUCGGUACAAAGGGUUGCCAAGCCGCGAGGUGGAGCUAAUCCCAUAAAACCGAUCGUAGUCCGGAUCGCAGUCUGCAACUCGACUGCGUGAAGUCGGAAUCGCUAGUAAUCGUGAAUCAGAAUGUCACGGUGAAUACGUUCCCGGGCCUU